AGUGGCGAACGGGUGAGUAACACAUCGGAACGUGCCUAGUAGUGGGGGAUAACUACUCGAAAGAGUAGCUAAUACCGCAUGAGAUCUAAGGAUGAAAGCAGGGGACCUUCGGGCCUUGCGCUACUAGAGCGGCUGAUGGCAGAUUAGGUAGUUGGUGGGAUAAAAGCUUACCAAGCCGACGAUCUGUAGCUGGUCUGAGAGGACGACCAGCCACACUGGGACUGAGACACGGCCCAGACUCCUACGGGAGGCAGCAGUGGGGAAUUUUGGACAAUGGGCGAAAGCCUGAUCCAGCAAUGCCGCGUGUAGGAUGAAGGCCCUCGGGUUGUAAACUACUUUUGUACGGAACGAAAAGACCUUUUCUAAUAAAGAGGGUCCAUGACGGUACCGUAAGAAUAAGCACCGGCUAACUACGUGCCAGCAGCCGCGGUAAUACGUAGGGUGCAAGCGUUAAUCGGAAUUACUGGGCGUAAAGCGUGCGCAGGCGGUUAUGUAAGACAGAGGUGAAAUCCCCGGGCUCAACCUGGGAACGGCCUUUGUGACUGCAUAGCUAGAGUACGGUA
rnacentral:rRNA from 1 species